rnacentral:lncRNA from 1 species
GUUAUUACGCAGACAAGGCAGUUGAGUGAGGUAUUUUUGAAAUAUAUAUAUAUUUUUUUUCUAAUUUUCUUUCUUUAUUCUCUCCAGAACCUAUUUCAAGUCAUCAGCCGCAGCUUCAGAAUUUCUCUCUUGAGCCAAAGGAAAUUAGAGCUUUCUCUAACCUUGUUAAAAAAGGAGCACAUACAAUCAGGAUACAUAAACCUUGGUAAAGAAUUAGCCAAGUUGGCAGAGGAAUCAGAUACCCCAGACCUUGAGAUUUCUGUGGGUCAACAGCAACAGGAACAAUAGCAUUAAUGGAAGCCCUGGUUGCUGAGCUAUAUGGUUUGGUGCCUCGUUUUUCUGUCUUGAAUCUCAAAUGUUUAUAAUUAUAUCCAAAUAAUGUUACUCAGGCUUUAUUUUUCCUGGUGAAUCUUGAUACUUCAAGAUUCAGAAUUAGCUCCUCAGUGAAGAUUGUUCUUUUACCUGAAGCAGAAUUAACAGACACCCCUUGUGUACUCCACUGCACCACGCGUAUAUAUUGUGGACUUCCAUGGAGAUUCCUAUCCCAUGGAGUGAUCAUAUUUGUUAGCAUACCUGUAUUCUGGUUUAGGUUAUUAAGUCUUUGGGGGGGGGGAUGUAUCUGAGUCUACCACAAUAACUAUCACAGUCUUCUGGCACAAGAGUGAAUACUGCCAAUGCUGUUCAGACAGUCAUUUUUAAAGAAAUCCAUAUGGAAAGAUUACCUUCAUGUAAUUUUUAAAUGAGCUGUUAUUCUGUUUCACUCUUCACUCCAUUCCUAUUCUCUUUUCCAUUCUUCGAAUGAGGUGGACUAGACUCUUUUCUUU